rnacentral:rRNA from 1 species
UGGGGAAUAUUGGACAAUGGGCGCAAGCCUGAUCCAGCCAUGCCGCGUGAGUGAUGAAGGCCUUAGGGUUGUAAAGCUCUUUCAGUGGGGACGAUAAUGACGGUACCCACAGAAGAAGCCCCAGCUAACUUCGUGCCAG